AUUGAACGCUGGCGGCAGGCCUAACACAUGCAAGUCGAACGAGUGGCGGACGGGUGAGUAAUGUCUGGGAAACUGCCUGAUGGAGGGGGAUAACUACGGGAAACGGUAGCUAAUACCGCAUACCAUCAGAUGUGCCCAGAUGGGAUUAGUUUGUUGGUGGGGUAAAGGCUCACCAAGGCGACGAUCACUAGCUGGUCUGAGAGGAUGACCAGCCACACUGGGACGGAGACACGGCCCAGACUCCUACGGGAGGCAGCAGUGGGGAAUAUUGCACAAUGGGCGCAACCCUGACGCAGCCAUGCCGCGUGUAUGAAGAAGGCCUUCGGGUUGUAAAGUUCUUUCAGUGGGGAGGCGUUACCUACAGAAGAAGCACCGGCUAACUCCGUGCCAGCAGCCGCGGUAAUUC
rnacentral:rRNA from 1 species